GGACAGAUGGGUGAGUUGGCUGAAACCACACCCCUGCUAAGGGUGCGUCGGGGAAACCUGACCGAGGGUUCGAAUCCCUCUCUGUCCGCCA
rnacentral:tRNA from 2 species